AUUCAACGCGCAAUCCUCACAGUAAGUUAACCCAAACCGUUAUGCGUGAGGAAAGGAAAGGAAAUCAGCCCGCCCCCGCACGACAAAUCCCAUCUCCACCUCCUGCCACGCCCUUCACCGCGCGCCACCGUGCGCCGCCACCGCCCACCCCGCCGUCGCACCUGCCUUGACCCGACCGGCUACACGGGGAUGAAGCUCGAGCACACCUUCUGGAUCGGCUCAACGCGGCGGCUCGAGCGGUUGGGGGUGGCACGGCUGCUUGAUGUAGGACGGCGGCGGCGGCGGCUGGAGCUUGCAGGGGGCGGAUCCGUGCGUGGCAGGGGCUGGGGUGCCUGAUCCGAAGGCGGGCGACGAGGCGGGGGUCGCCGUUGACGGCGAGGAAGGCCGGAGCGAGGGAUCCGGCGACCUAGGCAGGAGCUCGCCGGAGCCGGGCGACGGAGGACGGGCGCGCGAGACGGAUGGAUCCGGCGCGGCGGCGCGGAUUCCUUGUAGGUAGAAGCAGCAGCAGAAGGAGGAGGAUGGGAAGGCUGUAGCCACCGCAGAGAAGAACGAGAUUGGAAAUGCACUUCAGCAGCCUGUUCUAUGACUCGGCAUCAUCGGAGAACUUUUCUGGUCAUCCCGGUGUUGAGAGAUGCCCAUUCCUGAGGAAUAUCAAUGGAGCCACAACCUUUUCAUUUUCUUCUGCUUUGCCUGUAGCUGCUCGGGGAAGCAAGGGCCUGAUCUUUGAGGAUGGACCAGGCUUUGAGUCGGCAUUCAAGCUUUUCCAUGGACAGGAUGGGAUAGUUCCCCUUUCAGGAAGAUCAUAUGUGCCUGAUGAGAACUGUAGUGAGAUCACUGAAAGGGGAACUAUCAGCAUUUGGACCAUUCGGGUUUAACUUCUAUAAUGGCAAGGGUAAAAAGCAGAACAAGAAGCCCAACACUCUAGACCAGUCACACAAGAAGCCCAACAAGCCAGAUCAGAAUUCCAUGAAAGCAAGAGGCAGAAGCUGGAGCGACAGCCGUGGUGCCGUGGAAGUGGCGUGUCAUGAGGCAGAGUUGGUCAGUGCAAAGUUGUGCGAAGCGAAGCCAGGCUGCGCAGACAAGCAGGCCGCGGGCGAAGGCGGCCGGGUGCCACAGAUGGAGGCGCUGGGACAGGGUGGUGAGGUGAAGAGGACAGGGUCGAGAGCAGCUACAGUGCGUGCAUCUGUCCCCUCCUUUGUUUUUUCACCAAGCUACGUAAAAUCUAUCAAAUUAUUCAGGCACCGUCAGAGUAUAAUUCCCUAUAGAAAAUUUGAUUGAAGAUCUCAAUGAUGGCAAUUCUUUACAUAUGUAUAGUUGUUCAGCUCCUGAUUUCUGACAACUAUAUAGGAAAUUUGAUUGAAGAUAUGAUUGAUGGCGAUUCUAGGUACAGUUGUUCAGCUCCUGCUUUCUGACUCAUCAAAUAUUUUGAAAAGUGAUUGCUCCAUCAGAUUCACAUAAAAAGAAAUUGCACAACUGCACCAUGGCUGUCCAGUAUAUGAAGGAAGCUCCGGUUCUGAUAUCAGAUGCAGAUGCAGUUAGAGUUUCAGCAGAAUAUAUUCUUAAUGGCGACAAGGAACUAAUUCUUGCAUUUCUAUGGAAUAUGUUCAUUCAUAUGCAGGUUAAUCUACACAUGUCAGUAUCUCAUUACUCAUGUUGAAGUUUUAUACUGUUAUAUUUCACCUUUCGUUUGUACUGAAGGGGUGGACUAAUGGACUGACUUUUGUAUUUUUUACUCACUUCAUAAGCAGCAUUACGGUAGAGAUAUGUUGUACUUCUCAGCAUUAUGUUCUUCCCUCAGCCUGUUACUAAUUGUUAUGUUCUUCCCUCAGUCUAAUUAGUUAGUGUUAGUUGCCUAAAUCAGAAAGGCCGCGGUAGCGAAUUUUUACUAAGCAUGUGUAUUCUUUGGGCUUUUGGUCAUUCUGUAGGUGUCUUCUUAAAAUUGUUAAUGCAUUUUUUUGCCCACUCAAUUUUGACGGUUUCUCGAACCCGUUGCAACGCACGGGCUCUUUUGCUAGUGUGUGUGUGUCUAUAUAUAUAUAUAUAUAUAUAUAGGGAUUGACUAUUCGUCACCCUGGGCGAGGAAUAGUUAUUCUUCACCCCCUUUAUUUUACCAUCAAUACACUGUAAUUUUACGUUUUGUAAGUUGUCUUAUUUCUGACGUAAAAAGAGACCUUAAAAAAAUAUAAUCGUCGUAAAAAAUAUUUUAUGUUAUAUAAAAUUACAAACGUAAAAACAUAGUGUAAAAUACACAUAAACUGCAAAAUUUCUUGUCUUAUGCGCUAUAUUUUUAUUUUUUAGCCAAAUUUUACGUAGUGAAUCAAUAAGAAUGUAACUAUUUAAAUUCCAAACGUAAUUUAAGUAUGAAAUGAUCGUAAGAUUACCUCGGCUGAAGAAUAACUUAUUCUGCACCCUGGGUGAUGAAUAGUAACACUAUAUAUAGCUAUCUAUCUGUGUUUCGCUUUAUAUUCUCGGAGAUUCGUGAAUCUGAGCGGGCUACAAUUUUAACACAAAAUUUUCCCAAUAUUAUCUUUCUUGCGGCAAAAAUAGGCUCCAGCCGACUUAAGAGGGAGUCACAAGGCAACACGGCGCGCCCUACUCCCCAUGGCGCCCCCUAUUGCCUUGUGGGUCCCUCGGGCACUGUCGUGGUUUUGUCAUGGCAGAUGCCCUAGUGAAAGGGACUUAGAUGUGGAGCCAUCGCAACGCAGGUUAGCUUGAAGGGGUUGAACGGGACAAAGGACACAAAGGAUUUACCCAGGUUCGGCCCCACAACGAGGUCGAAGCCCAGUGGCUUACAAAGAGUCCGACUGGAUCACACAACGUGACCGGCCUGGUUUCUAAGUUGCCUUGCCUUAACAGGCAAGCUAGCAUAUGGCGGUUCACACGGUCGGGUCAUGGGCCUCCACCAGGCCCGCCUCUGUGAGUCGCCGUCUUCAACUUCACCUUCUUGGGCCUCCUUGGGCCUUCUUCAUGUUAAGUCGCCAACUGGGUAACCCAGCCCCUCCUGGGCGGGUCACACAGCGGGGUCAUAUCCCCAACAUUAGGCCCUAGAUUGAUUUGAACAUGUUCAUGUCAAUCUUCAUCCUUUGGUUGGCGAACAUCGAAACUCUUUCAAUAUGUAAACUGACAAACUUUCAUAACCCGACAUAACGAAAGGUGAUGUCAUGUCAUUAAUUUCAGAAAAAAAAUCCCAUGACAUCAUAACGGAUCUUUGCGUUAAUCAGCUAUUCCGCGGAUUGAGGCGCCUCCGCUGUUAAGAUAAUGGUGAUGCCUCCUCGAUUUCUGCGCCUGCCGUUAACUGUUUCACCUUUUCCUUAUAAGUAGGUACGAGGGGGUUCAUUUUUCACUUUUACCCCCAUCCCUCUUGCUUCCUCGUCUUCCUCAUGCUGCCACCACGACCGGAGCUCGGCCGACGCCGUUCCUCACCGGCGUCUUCAACACAGGCCGCUGCAUCAACCUGACCGGACUAGACAACGGCGGUGCACCCCUGCUCUUCAGUCGAGCAUCCAGGUAAAGCUCUUUCAUUGACCUAGAUCUACAUUAGACCGAUUCCGCUCAUAGGGUUCAUCGGAGUUCAGCAUGCUUAUCCAAGUUCAUCAUAGUUCAACCAUCAUGUCGCUUAGUUCAAUCCCAAAGUGAUACUAAAGUCAUGCAGUGAUAGCUUUGGCAUCCGUUUCCAAUAAUAGAUUCGUUCUCUCCUUCUGAGAUUCAAUCUUCUAGCUCUCCCAUAACUAUGUUCUAGGCUUAGCAAUUACCUUCUAUUUUUCAAACUGCUUUAGAUCCAUAAAUAUUGCUGCAAACUUGCGGAACCUGUUUGCCCAACACUUAGGAAAACCUCAGCUGUCUUGAUUUGAUAGUCAACUGACCCACCAUUCACUGUCUGGGCGGCUUAAAUAACAAUCUCUGUAACCCACCGGAACUUAGCCGGCUUAAUUAUAAUGCAUAAUUUAUCCAAAAAUCCAGAACCUUGUAUGACCCGUCGGCAAUGUUGACUGGCUCAUAUUUAUCAACUUAAUCAUGAUCUUGUAAUCCACCAGGGAAUGGCCGACUUAAACAUGAAUUUUGUAAUUACUGGGCGGUUUGUCACAAUAUUGAUCCGCCACACUUUAUUCUCAGGCAUCCACUAUCAAAAAUGACUAAGACCACCACCUCUUGCGAUUGGGUUGUUUCUACUGUCAUCGAACAAUCUAUCAAUGAGUAUGUUUAGAUGGGUAUUUUACCAGCAAAGAACGUCAUCCACUGGCGAGUUCCAAGAGCUGAAGUUCCGCCUCAACCUAAGGAAGGCGAGUUUAUAGUCUUUGCCGAUCACCUUCUUCGUGGUUUCUCACCACUCGGGUCGAAAUUCUUUCGGGAUGUUCUAAACUUUUACAAGCUACACGCCCAAGGUAUCGGCCCCAACUCUGUUUCCAAUAUAUGCAACUUCCAAGUCUUCUAUGAAGUGUACCUUCAAGAGGAGCCCAGCAUUGAAUUAUUCAGAUAAUACUAUUAUCUGAACUGCUAGACCGAGAGGACAGACGGGCCUAGUGUUGAACUCGGCGGGAUUUCUAUCCAGAGGCGGAGAGACGCCAUUUUCCCUACUGCCGCACUACCCAGUCACCCCAAGGUCUGGAACCAGAUUUAGUUCUACUGCCCAGAUACCUCUCUAGCUGACGAGAAUCCUCUGUCGUGUUACCGCUCCUUCCGACUUAGCCCCAAGCUCUUCCUGACCGGAUCAGUGCUGCAGAAUGGGCCAAGUACGCGCCCACCUUUUCAAAAAUAAGAUCUUUAUUAGCCAACGGCUUAACUGGGGUUGACCUGGUCCGCUGUUGGGUCGCUUGGAGGAUUUUUCCUUUGAGCCUCCGCCCUAGCUUAAUGUACCAAUAUACAUGUGACGUAAAGGACCCGCAGCGAUACAGCCAACUGUGUCUUAAUGAUCAGCAAAUCAAUGAGAUGACCAAGUCAUUGCUCGGGGAAACCCUCCAAAGCUGCAGUAAAGUGGGCAUGAACCCUUUCCGCGCUCUCAAUCCAAUUCCUGAUGCCAAAUCCCCUUUUUGGAAGAAGAAAUUGCCUGCUGCCGCUCUGCCCAAGAAGCCUAAGACAACAAUUGGAGGCCCGGGUCGUCCCAAGAAAUCCACUGCUGAAGAUCUGCUCAAGGUUGAUGAUGAGUCAGAGGUAGAACUGGACUCCCUUGGUCAUCUUUUUAUGCAACUUAUUGCCGCCGACUCUUCUCAGGGCGAUGUAGAAACAAGUCAUGCAAAUGCAAUAGAGGUCAUCCCUGUCUCCUUCGACUCAGAACCCUUGGCAAGACAGAAAACUCGGUGGGUCAUCCGGAAGGUGAAAUUUUCUCAUCCUCUUGCUUACUUGGAUCCCAACUUUCUUUUGAAGAAACAGCAACAUGAAGCAAGACGCCAGACUCGAAGCGGCGGCUCUCAAGAUCUUAUCUCCGGCUUCCCUAAUACACCGGCUCCUCGCAAACGUAAUCAUGAGAAGACGCCUCCAUCAUCUGGCGACUCUUCUGGGACUCAGAUGCAUGUCUUCAAAGUUGCCCCUGGAGGCAUGGCCAAAGUCGACAAGAAACAUAAAUUGGGCGGCUCUUAAGAAAAACCCAAACUGCUGAGCCAGAGAAGCAAAUGUCAGUAAACCCAGAUGCCACAAUUCAAGAUCAUGACGAUGUCGCCCACGAUCCACCACCGCAAACUGAUGUCAUGAUCCGCCGAGUCCUAAGCCACCCAGCCCUGCCAAGCUUGCUGAAGAGGCCCCUUUUGAUAAGAUCGCCGGAGAUGUCAUCAUCACUAGCACAUGCUAUACAGAGCCGGGGAUCUUUCUGUCUUGGCCAAACAUAGUGCAAAAGAAGAGCUGCCAAUAGAAGACAAAAGCAAGUUGAGGCUGGAUCUGGAGAGUUAUGUCGCCCUCACUGCAGGUGACAUUCAUGCGGGUUAUCUGAACCGCCUUCACACUAGCCGUGAAAUGGAGGACGUAUUAGUAAACCUCGUGAAGGAACGUUAUGAGGCAGAAUUGAUCAUGCAGCAGUCGCAAGUGGGCGACUUAAAGAAAAACAUCAAGACCCAGCAAGCAGAAUCUUCCAAAACCAAGUCAGAAUUGAAGGCCUCAUUAGAAGCAGCUGAAAAGUUGAAAGCAGAUUUUGACAUUAAGAGAGCCGACUGGGAGAUUGAGAAGGCUGUGCUGGCGAAAAGGGCCGAAGAUGUUGAGGCUGCACUUAAGCCAAUGACUGGAGAAUUAUCCGGCUUAAAGCAACAUAUUAUUCAAAUGACAGCCGCCAUCUUGCAGGCGCAAGGAGUGCCAACCUUGGCCAAGACAUGCUAUUGAAGCUGAAGGCCAUCUAUUCUUUAACUGAUCAACUUUACAGCGGCACCCUCCGUAGUCUUGUGGCCUUGGGGGGCAAUAGAAAACCGCCAAGUCAGAUCAAGUAUGUGCUGGAUCACUUAUCCACUUUUCCCAAGCCAGAUUGAAGAGCAAAGACUAUCAGCUACCCGAGCUGGAGCUAUCAUCGCUCUUGGCUGGGCUAAAGCCUGGCAAUCGGAGCUUGACCCGGAGGAGAUAGCCACCGGGUGUCCAGAAUUCAAAGAUGACCAGUCACCCUUUGAAGAAAAAGACUUCACACUACAAAAAAAUAAACUUCCGUGAUGAUACGUGUUUGUCACAGUAGGUCGCAUUUUUUGUCAUGCAUGUACAUCCAUGACGAUUUUAUGAUAGAAUCAAGAUAGUCAUACUUGUGCUGUCGUA